GGGAGUAUAGUUUAAUGGUAGAGCUCUUGCCUGCCAUGUAAAAAGCCCUGGGUUCCACUCCCAGCACCACCA
rnacentral:tRNA from 1 species